CCCAAUAGCACCUAUCUUCCUUUCUCCAACCCAUACCCCAGUCUCACCAAUUUGUCCAGGACAAGCUUUCACGCCAUACAUUGCAGCCAGUUCAAUCAUGGUUGACUCGAUUAUAGGAUACAAAAUGGCUUGGUGGGGACCAUGAAAGGUAAUGUCUCCUCCCCUUUGUGUGUAGUGAAGUUCAGCAACAAAUUGUGAACGGUUUGCAUUUUGCCAACAGUGUAUGUAGGGGGUGUUGCAAAGUCAGAAGAGUAUCACAUCUCCUAUGAAGCUUUCUAUCCAAGGCCAGUUUUUCCUGCAGUUUCAAUGCAUCAAUAUAGUUGACAACUCCUAGUUUCCAGACCUCAAGGCUUCGCAAACCCCUCAUUCCCUCUUCCUGCGAUUAGGGUUUCUGGAGGCGCUAGGGUGCUGCGGUAGGGUGUCUGCGGCGGCGCGGGCUGUGCAGAUCAGGCGUGAGGACGCGAGGUCGUCUUGUGAUGGUGGAACGACAUACUCUGGCGACGCGCGAAUUGUAGAUCUGCUGCGGCGGUGACGGUGCUGCAGUUUGCGGAGUUCGCGGUCGUUCGCUACGCAGUUUGCGGCGGCGCGGCGCGGAGUGAGCAGACCUGGUCCUGUCGACGCGCGACGCGGCGGUGUGUGCCUUUGGUGACGCGCGACGCGACGGUGUGUGACGGGGACUAGUGCAGUGCACGGUGGGGAGGGUUUCUGGUGCGGCUGUGCGCGGUUUUGCGCGGCGGUGACGUGAAGAGCGGUGGUGGUCCGCUGGCGGGACAGUGACGUGAUGGGACGGGCUGUUGGCUGUUGUGCUGUUGUGGGCCCUAAUUUGUUAAGGUUCUAAGGGUUUCUUAUCCCUUAUUCCAUAUAAUUGUUUGAAGGAUUUUGACUGGUCUUAAGAAUUGUAAGAUCUAUGUAAGAAUAUACUUCAAUUUAACAACUACUUUUAUUAAUUUUUUUAUGUAAGAAUUUAAUUUAUA
rnacentral:lncRNA from 1 species